AAGCUAAGACCCACAGCGCCGAUGGUACUGCACCCGGGAGGGUGUGGGAGAGUAGGUCACCGCCGGAC
rnacentral:rRNA from 2 species